rnacentral:rRNA from 1 species
UACAGAGGGUGCGAGCGUUAAUCGGAAUUACUGGGCGUAAAGCGUGCGUAGACGGCUAUCUAAGUCGGGUGUGAAAGCCCCGGGCUCAACCUGGGAAUUGCAUUCGAGACUGAAUAGCUAGGGUGCGGUAGAGGGAAGCGGAAUUUCCGGUGUAGCGGUGAGAUGCGUAGAUAUCGGAAGGAACAUCAGUGGCGAAAGCGGCUUCCUGGACCAGCACCGACGUUCAGGCACGAAAGCGUGGGGAGCAAACAGG